UACGGAGGAUGCAAGCGUUAUCCGGAAUGAUUGGGCGUAAAGCGUCCGCAGGUGGCAAUGCAAGUCUGCUGUCAAAGCGUCUGGCUCAACCAGAUAAAGGCAGUGGAAACUAUAUAGCUAGAGUAAGGUAGGGGUAGAGGGAAUUCCUGGUGUAGCGGUGAAAUGCGUAGAGAUCAGGAAGAACACCGGUGGCGAAAGCGCUCUGCUGGACCUUAACUGACACUGAGGGACGAAAGCUAGGGGAGCGAAUGGG
rnacentral:rRNA from 1 species